AUUGCUGGCGACCGGCGCACGGGUGAGUAACACGUAUCCAACCUGCCGAUAACUCGGGGAUAGCCUUUCGAAAGAAAGAUUAAUACCCGAUGGCAUAAUUAGACCGCAUGGUUUGAUUAUUAAAGAAUUUCGGUUAUCGAUGGGGAUGCGUUCCGUUAGGCAGUUGGUGAGGUAACGGCUCACCAAACCUUCGAUGGAUAGGGGUUCUGAGAGGAAGGUCCCCCACAUUGGAACCGAGACACGGUCCAA
rnacentral:rRNA from 1 species